rnacentral:rRNA from 1 species
CUAGACCAUCAGCUUGUGUACUGCCGUCGUAAGCAUACCUCUAAAAGUACAAGUAUGCAACUAUGACUUAAACUCAUUUACGUCAGGUCAAAGUGCAGCCAAUGAAAAGGUGACGAUGGGUUACACCCUAAACAAAGAUACAAAUUAGAGUACUAAAAGCCCUUUGAAGGUGGACUUGGAUGUAAUAUUAAUACAAAAUUAUAAUGAAAAUGAAUCUAAGACAUGCACACAUCGCCCGUCACUCUCGCCCAAAGGCGAGAUAAGUCGUAACAAAGUAGGUGUAACGGAAGUUGCACCUGU